GUGAAACUGCGAAUGGCUCAUUAAAUCAGUUAUCGUUUAUUUGAUGAUACCUUACUACUUGGAUAACCGUGGUAAUUCUAGAGCUAAUACAUGCAUAAAAGUCCCGACCUCUGGAAGGGAUGUAUUUAUUAGAUAAAAAACCAAUGUCUUCGGACUCCUUGGUGAUUCAUAGUAACUUAACGAAUCGCAUAGCCUUGUGCUGGCGAUGGUUCAUUCAAAUUUCUGCCCUAUCAACUUUCGAUGGUAGGAUAUAGGCCUACCAUGGUUUCAACGGGUAACGGGGAAUUAGGGUUCUAUUCCGGAGAGGGAGCCUGAGAAACGGCUACCACAUCCAAGGAAGGCAGCAGGCGCGCAAAUUACCCAAUCCCGACACGGGGAGGUAGUGACAAUAAAUACUGAUACAGGGGGCUUCUGCCUCUUGUAAUUGGAAUGAGUACAAUUUAAAUCUCUUAACGAGGAACAAUUGGAGGGCAAGUC
rnacentral:rRNA from 1 species